rnacentral:lncRNA from 1 species
UGCUCAAGAAUGAUAUUGACUUAUAAUUUUCUUCUCCUCUUUCAUUGUCAUCAAAGUUUGAUAUCAGGCUUUUGGCUUUUGCUGGACUCCUAAGAUGUGUUGGGAAGAGCUGUGUCUUUCUUCUCUGAGACAGUGUGGUAAGUUUCAUCUUGUUUCUCCCUCAAAUGUUCAGUAGAAUUUACCAUUGAAGUUCUUUGAGCCUGGAGUUUUCUAUGUGAAAAGGCCUUUAUUUACAGAGGCAAUUUUAAAAAGUGAUGGAGGGCUAUUUACAUGUUCUAUUUAUUUUGUGUCAGUUCUAGUUUUAUAUUCUAUGGAGUUUAUCUGUUUUGUCUAAGUUAUUAAAUUUCAAGCACAGUGAGGUUCACAGUAGUACAUACCCCCUCAAUGUACAAUGUCUUUUUUUUCCCUCAUUCCUGAUACUAAUAUUUCAUGUUUACUUUUCGUUCGUCUUUGCUCAAUGGUAGGUGUUACAGUUUUCUAUUCAUGCAUAGCACAUUGCCCCAAAAUUGAGUAACAUAAAACAAUAGUGAUUAUUUCACUUUCCCAUAGGUUGGCUGGUUACUUCCUCGUCUGGUUCCACCUGGGUCCCCCACAUGGCUGUCUUCAGCAGGAGGGCCUGCAGGACUGGACAUGGGCAUUAGCCUCACUCACAUCUUCAGCACACGACACCAGCUCUCCACGGAGGACCCCUCCAUUCUCAGUCACAUGGCCGCUCCUUCUCCUGCGGAAACAAAAAUGCAGCCAAAGGAACCCGAUUGUCAUUGACGGAAGAAAAAGAGCUGCAAGCCAAAACAUGCAAAACCAGCCUCUCAUUGAGGAGAAAGUGAAAAAUCCAGAAUGAGCUGGAAGGGGAGGGCCGAGAACUCGCAGGAGCCCUUGUGUGAAUCAGAAGCUCUCCUUAGCCUGGUGCCUCUGCCCACAGCCCCGUGCCGCCCACAGGAGCCACCACCCUGCACCUGGGCCGGGUGAUGGCAUCCCCGUCAGACCUCAGCCGCUCUACCGUCUGGGCUCCUGGCCUCUGCCCACCUGCCUGAGCCUGAAGCUGGUUCUCGUAUCAGCGUGCCCAUCUAGCGUAGCCUGAGCCCUUCCUCCCUGCCAAGCCCUCCAGUUUGGAAGCAGAGGCAGGAGGGCCGGGUGGGGGUGGGGGGGGGGGAUCUUGUGGUUGGUUAACUGCAGGGUGCUGCUGUGGCCUCUGUCACACAGUCCCCGACAGACAUGGAGUGCAACAUACGUACAGAUGGCCCCUCUGGGGACUGAGCCGUCUCAGGAACGGUAAGAAUUUCUCUAUGCAGGUUAGAGGGCGGUCUGAGGACCGAGAACUUUGUAAAAGUUUCUUCCAUGAAUGACCUUUAUCUUGCCCCAAGAUGCAGCCCCGGGGCCCAGGUUCUGAAAGGGAACCACCCCCACCCCCCACCCUCCACCCUCCACCCAGCCCAGUCUAACGUAUGCAUGCGUUUUGCCUUGCAUUCGAAUCAAAACAGAUAAAAUUACCCAAAGUGAAAUUCACAGACAAGAAAUACUUUAAUUAAAUAUUGUGUAAAAUGAACAUUUUUAUACAGUUAAAUAUCUGAAAAAAUGUACAGAUAAAACAAUCUUAUUGUAGGGUCUUUAACAGUAAAAUCUACCAUUUAGUGAAGCGCUCAAUUUUGAGACAAUGAAGCGAUGAGGGGCAUUGACUAAUUAAUCUAAAACACAAACCGAGUGCAGGGAUGAGGAAACUUGCAAACGUUCUCAACAUGUACACGUGAGCUUGUUUUUUUAGAUCAAACCCUUACUUAUACAAAAUAAAACGGAGGCAAUUUAGUUCCAAAGUGACUUCUCAGGCUUUCCCACGUAGCUAAGCCUUAGCGGUCAUGGGGCCGGACCGCGACCCGCUGACCACCGGGACAUUCUGCUGUUUUAUUUAGUCCCUCGAAUGAACACUUUCCUAAGUUGUGCAUGGUUUUGUUCUUUUGUCAAGAAAGUUGUUUUUUAAUGUCCCUCCUUUUUGUUUUACAUCUGAUUUCUGCUGCAAUUCGCGAAACGUCUGCUGUGCUGUGUCUGUGAGGCGUUUAACACAAAGGGAAAGACUGACCCUCCUGGUCUCACUGUGGGUUUGGCACGAACAGGCACAGUAUCUGAAGGAGGUCAUUCCGGUUUUAAAAAGUACAGACAGCGCUGCAGGGGUCCGACCACAAAAAAGGUGUCGUUUCAAAAAAAGUUAAAAACCAGCAGUGAUUUUUGGUUCCCCCGAAACCUCUCUGGAUCCUAGGUGGGCCCCAGGGAGACACGGAACGCAGCAGAAUCAGACGCAGAAUGGAGCGACACAUGGAACGUCAGGUUUGUGCUUUUGUUUGUGUGUGUGUGUGUGUGUGUGUGUGUUUACACCAUAAAUCUCCAAAUGAAAUAUCGAUUAACGAUUGUGUUGUAAGCCUGUGAUAAAAUAGCACAAAGGUUCUUUAAAGAAGUCCACUUUUAAGGCAUCAGAGAAGUUAAUGUGGCAAACAUUUUAAUUAAAACAUCAGAAGUAAAUUUUAUUUUAAACUUUAGGCCUCUGAAUUUUUCCAGUAAACACAGUUCAGCUAUGUGGCAAAGUCAUGGGUGGCAGCUAAAAUGAUUUUUUUUUUUUUUUUUUUUUUUUUUUUACAUUCUACAGAAAAAUAAAAUAAGGACACAGCCCCAAACGGUGUCACCUCUUUGCGGCUGUUCCACAUGCACGGAAUCUACUAGGAUUUGUCACAGCCGAGUGGCACCGUUUUGUUUUGACUAUACAACGAACUUUUUUUUUUUCAAAAGUAUUUGUUCAGAUAACUUAA